AUUGAACGCUGGCGGCAUGCCUUACACAUGCAAGUCGAACGGCAGCACGGACUUCGGUCUGGUGGCGAGUGGCGAACGGGUGAGUAAUGCAUCGGAACGUGCCAUUGAGUGGGGGAUAACGUAGCGAAAGUUGCGCUAAUACCGCAUAUUCUGUGAGCAGGAAAGCAGGGGACCGCAAGGCCUUGCGCUCUUUGAGCGGCCGAUGUCAGAUUAGUUAGUUGGUGAGGUAAAGGCUUACCAAGGCGACGAUCUGUAGCGGGUCUGAGAGGAUGAUCCGCCACACUGGAACUGAGACACGGUCCAGACUCCUACGGGAGGCAGCAGUGGGGAAUUUUGGACAAUGGGGCAACCCUGAUCCAGCCAUGCCGCGUGAGUGAAGAAGGCCU
rnacentral:rRNA from 1 species